GAAUACUGUAGAAGGUAGAGAGAAGAAAGACCACUAUAACUAUUACUAGACCUUUUUGACCACAGUUUUCUUCAGAAUGACAAUAAAAGUGGUAUAUUGUGCUACUUUGAUUUACUCCCAACAAAAAGUAAUUUAAAAAACCCUUUUCACUCAGAAAUGAUUGGCUUCUCUAUCUUUCAUUUCCAUGCAAAAUACGCUAGUGUUAAAAGCAUGGGAGAAAGUUUUACCUACCAGCUAGCUGUAAAACCUCAACCUAUGAAUGGGUUCUCUGUUUCCUAAUAUCUUAAUUCUACAUGUCAUGUCUACAACCAUGCCACCUUCAACUGAGGUUUCUAUUGAGACAAACACCAGAAGCUUUGUUUCUAGUAGUAAUAAUACUUAGCUUUAUGCUGUGUCUAUAUUUUAAGAUGCAGUACUGCAAAGAAAUGCCUAAGGUAACUCACUCCCAGAGGGAGCAAACCGUGUCAUUGUGGCCUCUGCCCUCAGUGGCAGAGUGUGACUGCACUGAGUGCUGUGGCUCAUUUGGGGCUAGCUGGGGCAUUCGUCAGCUGGGUGACACGUGGGUUAACCUCAGAACCGACAGCUUGUCUCCUGUGACAACCACUAGUACGUGAGCUACCUCCCGAGUGACUUCCUUUCUGUUGCCCAAACGCAGGCCUUUGGGGCUGACACAGAAUGCUUGAGACAUCCUUAUGUAGCUGGCAAAUGCACAUCUUUGAUGUGCAAGAGUCCUGUAGUGCUCUGGAGUGGUAGCUGAAUGCCAGGUGGGAUUCCCAAGGACAUCUCAAAUGCCCCUUUAUACACCAGGUUUGAACCUAUCCAAUCUCUAGCAAUGGCCUUCUCAGAAACUUCCUGACCCACUACUGUUUUUAUAGAUUCCUAUUUAAGGCACUAUCAUAUCCAUUCCUCACUUAUAUCACAGGGUCUUCCCUCUACUCCCGUCUUUCUCCUAACGAAGAAUACUGCUCUGUUAGUUGUUCUUUGAUUGGAACUGCCUUACAUGACUGAUCAGACUUGCUGUCUUUCAGUGUACCUUGUCUGUGUCAUCCUUUCUGAGAUGAGCAAAAGGAGAGAAACUGGAACAUGAGCACACCGUAGUUUAUCCUGUAGGACAACGGCGGUGCGAGACGACAAAGAGAAACAUGUGAAGAAGAUUUGUUCUCUGCAGCCACCAAGCUCGGGCUAAGAGGGAAGCCAUGCCACCCACCCUCACCUGCGGGACCGCGCCAAAGGUGAUCCCAGCCGGAAUUCGCGUUGGCGGCCAGGGCAGGAGGGAUGAGGCUGUCCCCCCGCCCAGCCGCUGCCCCCUGCCCGCCGGGAAGGCGCUGCCCCGCGCACCAAGGGAGAGGCAAGAAGCGCCUGGGGAAGGCAAUCGCGACCCACCUUCUCCAGGGUCCACUGUGCUCCGGCGUCCCUCCCGAGCGCCGGGGGCAGGCAGGCGGCGAAGCACAGCGCCCCGAGCAUUCGGGCAGCGACCCCCGCCAUCCCCUCCCUCCGCCUCGCCGAGUGCCGGGGAUGCAAGGAGAGAGCCGGGGCUGUGCCGGCGGAGGUGGAGGCGGAGGAGGGACGGACGGAGGCACGGAGGGAGAGAGGGAGGGAGGAGGCUGCCGCAGGAGCGGCGCUGGCUGCUGGAGCCGCAGCGCUGCCAGUCUCUGUGGCAGCCGCGUUCCCCCCGAGCUGAGCUCGUCCCCGGCAGCACGUCAGCAGUGCCAAGGGCUGCCUGCCGCCCCCCGGCCCCCUCCCCUCUCCCUCCUCCCCCGGCCGCCGGGCCGCGACGGCGGCGCAGGCACUCGUGAUUCCCGCCGUGGGAAAAGCCGGAGCUGCGGCUUUCCCCUGAAAGCUGGUUUUGUGUUCCGAGGGGCAGCUCCGGGAUGGGCUGCGGCUCGGGGCCCCGCGUGAUCCGUCCGCGUUCGGACACCGGUGGGAGCUCCGGGCGCUGGGAUCAGGGAGGGCUCUGCGGCGGGGCCCGGGCUCCCUGCUGGGAAGCGGCCGGGAGCAGCGCUCGUGGCCGAUGGAAGCUCGGAACGGGUAUUCCUGAAGGGUGUGACGGCAAAGACCUACAGAAUUGCAAAGUGGCUUAGUUUAUUAUUUUAUACAUUCUUCUUAUGAUCCUUUUUAGGCCUAAAACAACAAUACUUUCUAAAAUGAAAAUCCACUCUCCAGGCGUUUUAAAUUCUGUAAUUAUACUAUCAACUAACAAUGAAGCUGAGGUGGUGAGACGGUGUUUUGCAGUAAACCAAUUUAAAUUAUUAAACCAAAGAGACAAGUUUCUGAGCUCCUGAUCUAUUCUUUAGGUCAUUUGACAUCAGCGUUCUUGCUCUAGGAUGUUGUAGAAAACAUCUCACUAUUCUGCAUCACACAUACUUCAUCUAAAGUCUCCGAUUUUUAUAUAUUUCUUAAAGUUCAGGCUUAAUGCCAAAUUAAAAGAAAAAAAAAAAAGAAGAAAGGAAGAAGGGAAGCAGCAGUAGUAAUCAUUUUGCUGCUUAUCAGCCUUGCACUGGAAAGCCACAUCCUAGUAACUAUAGCUUUGCAAGUAUUCAAAGUGUCCGCAAGGGUGAUGUGAGAGAAACAGAGCAAUUUGUGAUUUGCAGAUUGUUGACCCAGAUUUUACAGAUUUCCUAGAAAAGCUGGUGGAUCUGCCAUCCAGCACAGAGAUGGCAUCUCUGGUGGUGAUAGCUUUACUACAGAUGCAGUGUCCUUCUAGCUGAUACUGAGACAUAUGCGGCUGUAUCCAUUUUUUUUCAUAUAUGGGAAAACAAAGAGUUAAUUUAAAUUGGUGCCUCUUUUUUUUCAGUCAUGAAAGUCCACACACUGCUUGUUAAGAAAUUGUUCCAAACUCACAGCCAAGUCAUUGGUUCAUAGGGAGAAAUGGGCAAUCUUUUGAUUACCAAGAAAAAUCACUGUGGUUGACAGAUUUUAGACAAAAGCCCUAGCAUGUCAGAGAUCAAGUAAUGGGAAAUUAGUCUAAAUCCAGCUACUAAGAUGAUGGUGAUCCCAGCAGAACUACACAACGGAACAAAAAUCUGUUGCCCCUCCAUGAGAUUUCCUGUGGUUGACUAUACAAUCCAGAUGCUGGACAGAUUUUCUGGGUGAUGUGUCAGGGUUCUCACACAAUUUAGCAGAAAAGAAAAUAAAUACAAUAGCUACAGGAGAAAUCUGACAAGGAUAUAAACUUGAGUCAGGACUAGCUAACACUGCUUUUCCCUAAGGGAUUGUGGUUGCUCUGAUGGUUACAAUUAUUUGAUAGAUUACAAGUUUGGCAAGUGUAAAGUCAGAUUUAAUAUCACCUACAUGGGAAACACACAUAAAAAUGUAAGUGCUGGACCAGAUGUGUAGAGAGAUUAAAUAGGAUUUUUUAAGGGCAUUACUUUCAAAAUUUGGAGUGGAGAUGUCCCCUCCCAUAACCACCCCAGGAAGUUCUAUGUCUAUAAAGAAGACUGAGAGAAGAAAAAAAGAAUCCAUGUAACAGAAAUCAGAACACUUCACAGCUGAAAACAGAAGUAUGUAACUAUUUCAAAUAUGCACACUUUAAAAAAAAAAUAGUCAAAGGUGAUGGACAUUUUAUUUAUCCAGGAAUUUAUAAAGGAAAAAUGUGUUGUUUAGUCCUGCUUCAUACCACCUAAUAGAAAAUGUGUCAACAAAUUGCUUAGUGGUCAGCUGUACUAUUAUAUACAUCUUAAAUAUUUGGAUUAUUACUCUGAAAAAUCAAAUAGAUGUAACCAGAUGUCAUCUAGAGGGGGGGAAAAAACGGGUAGUUUAUUUAGUAAGGGUAGUUUAGUUAGGGAGAAAAGCCUAGGCAAUCUGUGACAGUAUGAUCUGUGCAUGAUCCCUUCCUGUGCCCAGGAAGUGACAGUUGGUGUGACAGUGCCAUCUACUGAAGUCCCGAUGGACAGUCGAUGGAGGCACCGCUGUCAAAACCUUUUCCUUCUGCUGGCCUUCCAACAUGUCAGCAUUUCAGCCAAACCAUCCCUGGGAAGCUGAGGCCGUGUGCUCCGUCAUUGCCUUGGCUGUGAACUGGAGAAAUGCGCUGCCCAGUGCUGCGGGUUUAAUGCUCGCCAGUUUUCUCCAGAAGGGGAACUGCUGCACCUUCCAGCGUUCUAAAGACAGUUUUAAUGCUCGGCUCUUCUGACUGGCAGGCCCGCGGCAGGGAGAGCAGAGGAAGUGUGGUUUGAUGCGGUUUGAAUCCACAUAAUAAAAAGUCAUUUCCAAUGCAGAAGGUUGGAUGGGGCUCAGAGCAACCCAGACUAGUGGAGGGUGUCCCUGCCCACAGCAGGGGUUGGGAACUUGAUGGUCUCUAAGGUCCCUUCCAAUCCAAGCCACUCUAAGAUUCUAUAAUUUGAGCCUGAGCUAUGGCUGAUUUGCCAACAGCAGGAAGGCAGCAGAUGCAGUCUGAGAUUCCCAGAGUUCAGCAGCCUGGGCUGCUGCAGACUCAGAAAUCCAUAAGCAGCUCUCAGAGCCCAGAGGGAAAGGGUGGUGGGGCUGAUGGUCACAGAGAAGCACAGGGGCCUGCAGGUGCCCAGUGCUCACGUGCAUCUUGUGGGCUUGAGCUGCUGCUGUUCAUCUCGGUUAACUCAUCCACUGCUCGUCUCCGGGGGGCUUGGAACAGCCCUUACCAGGCUGUGGAAGCACCCCACUUGGUGAUUCAAGUUGAAGAGACUCUGUUUCCAUGUGCUGAUGCUUUCACAGACAAAGCUUUAAUAAGUGCAAAAGUGUGAAAUUUCUUAGGUUUACCUUAAACACUUACUUAGGAAAAUAACUUUAUUUUGGAGCCAAUACAGUAGAAUUAUAUAUACUAUAUGAAUGAGGCUACCCAUCUAGCAGAUGCAAGGAUCUGUGAGAUCAUUCCUUAAACUAGUGGGGGGGUAAGUGAAUUCCAAAACUCAAUUACCUAUCAUUUAUAAUAAAAAGAUAUAUUUUGUUUAAUAAAAAAAAGUUACAAAUA